UACGUAGGGGGCAAGCGUUGUCCGGAAUUACUGGGCGUAAAGAGCUCGUAGGUGGUUUGUCGCGUUGUUCGUGAAAACUCACAGCUCAACUGUGGGCGUGCGGGCGAUACGGGCAGGCUGGAGUUCGGUAGGGGAGACUGGAAUUCCUGGUGUAGCGGUGAAAUGCGCAGAUAUCAGGAGGAACACCAAUGGCGAAGGCAGCUCGCUGGGACGGUACUGACGCUGAGGCGCGAAAGCGUGGGGAGCAAACAGG
rnacentral:rRNA from 1 species